UUACUGUACGAUUAUUAUUGAUGCUCUUGGACUCCAGAAGAUGGGGCUGCUGGCUGGCUUUUGUAAUUUGAGGUCGAAACCGCCCAGCCCGUUCCACACCCGACGAGCUUCGAACGCAGGAAAGACCGAAUUCGACAGGAAAUGAGCCUUUUCUUCGCCUUCAAAGUUUAAGUGCUCCCCGGGGAAUACACGGAGACAUUUUAUUUUGAAAGUACACACCGGAAGACGUUUUGGUAAAGCGUCGACGGGAUUUCCAAACAACGAAUGCGGUUGGUUGCUUCAAGCAAGGCAGAGCAACGACAACAAAAAAAAGAAAAAAAGAAAGAAGGAAAGAAGGAAAGAAAGAAAGCAAGGAAGGCAAGAAGGCAGAGCUGCGAGCGGAGCUUGUCUACGGCGGCGGGUCCGGGGUCGCGCGCGAGCCCCCCUCCGUCAAAGCCACACGCUCACCUGGAACCAUCCAGACAGACUUGGAAUAUGGGCAAAACUCCGAGGAAGUCAUUCAAGCAGAGCGGAUGUUUGAUUGAGCGGGAGCGGGAGCGGGAAACCGCCUCGGAAUACUCUCUUCGCUGACAGAAAGAACAACCGGAAUCCAACGGACAAUUCCCAAGUCGGUGGGGCUUCACCAAUCCCAAUAGCAACAAUUUCAACAUUAGCCAUUUUUUUUUUUUUUUUGGGGGGGGGGGGGUGGGGGACACCCGUAUCGAAGGACUUAUUGUGUUAUUGCCACACUAGUGUGUGCUUUUCUUUGGUGGAAUUGGUGCCCAGUGACACUUAAUGCAUCCAAAGGAGAAGUGACUUGCUCAAGGUUGCUGGGACUGAAGCCAUCUGCCCAUUUAUGGAUCUUUGAGAGGAAACGUUUCUCACCUUUGUUCAGCUCUUAAACCUCUUCGCUCUGCAAUUCCCCCCCAAAAAGUCGUCAUUCAAUCUGGAAUAUCCUUCCGUUUAUCUUAAAACAAUGUCGAACAUUCUUUUUCAGUUUGCCAAUUGCCCACUUCGAGUGGUGAUGCUGUAUUUUGUUCCUAUUCUCUUGAUGGGAGAGCGGUGCCUCUCAUCCCCUUCAGGGUCAGAGUCCAACUCCUGUUCUACAUUGGUACAAAGCCGUUUAUUUGGCUUCUUCCUGUCAUCAUCGGUAUUCCCCGCUGUUCCUUGCUCCUGGAUCCUGCAGAAUCCUGAUCCACGGCACUACACCAUCUUCAUCAAGAUAACAAAACCUACUAAGGACUGCAUGCCAUUACAGCAUCGUAUCUUCCAAUAUGACUCCUUCCUGGAGACCACGCACACCUACCUAGGAAUUGAUGGCUUUGACGAAGUUGUGAGGCUGUGCGACACUUCUGCCCCGAUGGCCUUCCUCGAGGCUGACAAGCAGUUUUUUCACAUGACAAGGGGUCCUCAUCAGAAAGGUGAAACCACGACAAGCGAUUUCAAAGUGGAGUACCUGCUUGUUGGAAAAAAUAACCCCAGCAUGGCAGCCUGUCAGUUGCUGUGUCAGUGGCUGGAGGACUGCCUGGCCCCCGGCACAUCGAGCAGGCCGUGUGGCAUAAUGCAGAUGCCGUGCGCGUGCUGGCAUCCGCCACCGCAGCACAGUGAGGCCAACAGCUGUCACUACAAUGGAGUUUACCUGGAGAAAUGUUUGCACAAAGCAGGAGAAUUUGGCAAAAAUGCUCAAACAAAAGGUAAAGACCUGCAUAUUUCUCGCAGUCAGUACCUUCGUUCAGUGGACAGUCGCAAGCUUGAUGAUGGAGACAAGCCCCGUAGUGGACAGCAAAAUCCUCAGACAGUAGACUCAACCUCAGGUGAGGAGUGGUCAGCAUGGAGUGUGUGUUCUGCCACAUGUGGGGAGGGCUGGCAGAGUCGCACUCGUUUCUGUAUCUCCUCCUCGUACAGUACCCAAUGUAGUGGGCCUCUGCAAGAACAGAGAACUUGCAUCCCUGCUGUUUGUCCAGUGGCCGGCGCUUGGGAUGAAUGGUCACCAUGGAGUUUAUGUUCGUCAACAUGUGGCAGAGGUUAUAGAUCCCGAACACGAACCUGCACCCCUCCCCAGUUUGGGGGAGACCCCUGUGAUGGUCCAGAGAAGCAGACCAAAUUCUGUAAUAUAGCUGUCUGUCCAGUGGAUGGUGUGUGGAAUGAGUGGUCAAGUUGGAGUUCCUGCUCAUCUUCCUGCUCUAAUGGGACCAUGCAACGGACAAGAGAGUGUAACGGCCCGUCAUAUGGAGGUUCUGAAUGCAGAGGAGAGUGGCUUGAGACUGUUGACUGCUUUCAUGGGGAAUGCCCUGUGGAUGGGAGCUGGCAGCCAUGGUCUCUGUGGUCAGGGUGUUCCAAGACCUGCGGUGGAGGUAGCCAGCAGAGAAGCAGAAUUUGUUAUGGGCCCUUUUUUGGAGGGCAUUCUUGCCCUGGAGAACGAGAAAAGGUCCGACACUGUAAUGAAAAAAGAUGCCCAGAAUCUCAUGAAAUAUGCGUUGAGGACAACUAUUCCAACAUUGUUUGGAAGAUGACUCCUGCUGGAGAUACAGCAGCAGUACGAUGUCCUCCCAAUGCAAUGGGGUUGAUUUUGCGUCGCUGCAUCCUCGAUGAGGAGGGUAUUGCAUUCUGGGAGAAUCCUACCUAUAUGAAGUGCAUUUCCAAUGAUUAUCGCAGCAUACAAACUUUGACUCGAGAUCAUUUAUCUAAAGCGCAGCGAGGCCUCGUGGGGGAUGGAAUCUCUGAAGUGAUGGCUAAACUGAGAGUGACUUCCAGUGAUGGCACCAGCUACAGUGGUGAUUUGCAGGCUAUUUUGGACGUGCUGAAGAACAUGACUGAAAUCUUCAGGAGGGCAUACUACAGUCCCAGCAGUGCAGACAUGAGGAACUUUGUCCAGUCAGUUAGCAAUCUGCUAAUGGAAGAAAACCGAGCACGAUGGGAAGAAGCUCAAUUGCUGGGCCCGAACAUCAAGGAGCUGUUCCGCCUGAUUGAAGAUUUUGUGGAUGUCGUUGGUCUGAGAAUGAAAGACUUUCAAGACAUGUAUGAAGUGACUGAUAACAUAGUUUUGAGCAUCCACAAGCGUCCAAUGCUGAGUAACGCAGAUAUCAGCUUCCCAAUGAAGGGCUGGAGGGGCAUGGUGGACUGGGCCCGCAACUCAGAGGACAGAGUCACUAUCCCAAAACACAUCCUGCUAACAGGCAAGCCAGAUUCAGAUGACUCCUCGACAUUUGUAACAGGUAUCGUUCUGUACAGAAACUUGGGAAGUGUUCUGAAUUUGCAAAGAAACAGCACAUUACUCAACUCCAAGGUUGUAUCAGUCACUAUUAAACCCACUCCUGCUUCCCUUUCUGCUCCAGUUGCAGUGGAAUUUUCUCACUUGUACAACGGCACCACAAACCAGACGUGUAUAUCCUGGGAUGACAAUGAGAGCUCCUCUCUGCUGGGAUCCUGGUCCGCUCGGGGCUGCAAAGCCGUGCUCGUCGAUUCACUCCGAACCAAAUGCCUGUGUGACAGGCUGUCCGCCUUCGCCAUAUUAGCGCGACUUCAUCCCGAAAUGAACAUGGAUAAGACACAGCUCCCAUCCGUGACACUGAUUGUGGGCUGUGGAGUAUCUUCGCUUACAUUGUUGCUCCUCAUCAUCAUCUAUGUGUCGGGCUGGAGAUACAUUCGGUCGGAACGAUCUGUCAUUCUAAUCAACUUCUGCCUCUCAAUUAUUUCCUCCAAUGCCCUUAUUCUCAUUGGACAGACCCAAACAAGAAAUAAGGUUUUAUGCACCAUGAUAGCUGCGUUUCUUCACUUUUUCUUCCUGUCAUCAUUCUGUUGGGUCCUGACGGAAGCAUGGCAGUCAUACAUGGCAGUGACGGGUCGUCUCAGGAAUCGCAUUAUACGGAAGCGUUUUCUCUGUCUUGGCUGGGGUCUCCCUGCUCUUGUCGUUGCAAUCUCAGUGGGUUUUACCAAGGCAAAAGGCUAUGGAACACCAAGCUACUGCUGGUUGUCUCUGGAAGGAGGGCUUCUCUAUGCAUUUGUUGGACCAGCUGCCGCUGUUGUCUUGGUUAACAUGGUAAUUGGGAUUCUCGUUUUUAACAAACUGGUGUCCAAAGACGGCAUUACUGAUAUGAAACUAAAGGAGAGGGCGGGUCAGAUGACAGUGCCACUGUACAAUAUGACGCUCAAAUGUGCCAAGUGUGGAGUUAUCUCGUCGGCUGACGUAUCCACCACAGCUACCAGUAACGCCAUGGCUUCACUGUGGAGCUCCUGUGUGGUUUUGCCCCUUCUGGCUCUCACAUGGAUGUCAGCUGUACUUGCCAUCACAGACCGGCGCUCUGCACUAUUCCAGAUUCUUUUUGCUGUCUUUGAUUCUAUGGAAGGCGUUGUCAUUGUCAUGGUGCACUGCAUCCUGCGACGAGAGGUUCAGGAGGCAGUAAAGUGCCGUGUGGUAGACCGCCAGGAAGAUGGGAAUGGGGAUUCUGGUGGAUCAUUCCAGAAUGGACAUGCUCAGCUUGUGACUGACUUUGAGAAGGAUGUUGAUAUGGCCUGCAGAUCAGGUACUGUGAAGAACUCCUCCCUCCAGGAAGAGGAAAAGGCCUCUUCUGGGGCUCUAACCCUUCAAAGGGGAUCUAACUUCAAUACCAUGCCAGCCAGUAUGGCCAAAGUCCACCUCCAGAACAGGGCAGACUAUACCAGCCACACACUGACUCUACGCAGAGAGAAAUGUACCACUAAAGGAAUAAGCACUGAGUUGCUAGGUGCCAAUUCCAUUUACAUCUGUGACAGUGAGCUCUUUAAGCAGCUAGAUGGUGAGCGUCCACAAAGGAAUGGAGAAGGAAGCAGUUGUGAGGGCACUGGCAAAGCUCCGGGGCCAGUCCUUUUACCAACCAAAAAUACGAGCACCCUAAGGCCGGCCAAGGGCGAAGAAGAGCAACCGACCAAGUAUCAGAAAAGUGGUGAGCAGCUGCCUCAGACAAGGCUCGUCCACCUGGCUAACUCUGUCAGUGGUGAGCCAGUGCUUGGAUUUGGACUGAAGAGCCUGCCUGCUGACCAGAUCAGUGUGUCAUGCUCAGAGAGAGAUUCCCCUGCGCACAACCUAGAAAACCUGUCAAGAGACUCUCAGGUGGACAGUAGCACCUGUAAUGGAGCAGAAUCUGGAAACUCUGUUGUGAUGACCAAGAAUGAAACUGUAUCGACUCUUUCCAUGAGCUCCCUGGAGAGGCGAAAAUCACGCUAUGCAGAGCUUGACUUUGAGAAGAUAAUGCACACCCGGAAACGCCACCAGGACAUGUUUCAGGACCUGAACAGGAAGAUUCACAGUGCAGACAUGGAUGUAGAGUCGACACCUGUUGAUGCCAAAGCUGCCAAAAGAUGGAGUGUGUCCUCGACCAGCAGCGACAAGACCAACAUAAGUGAGAAGCAGCAGACCCCAAGUAAGAGGGCAUGGGAGGGCAUACAGAAGACCCACUCCCCAACAUCCUGGGGAAGAAGGGACGACCCGGUGACAGCGGUGACCUCCCCUUUGGAGAUGCAGACAGUGGAGUGGGAGAAGACGAGCGCAACUAUUCCUUUGGUAGGCCAAGACAUCAUGGACCUGCAGACGGAGGUGUGAGAAAUCAAACAUUUCCUCAACUCAUAUUUCACAUCAGUCUCGGACAAAUGAGCAACAUGCCACGUUCUGCUGGUCGAGGACAAAGGAGAGAUAAGAAAAAGACAAUGAAAGCAGGAAAUGAAUGCAAGAUAACUGCUAUCAUGUUGUUUCAUUUCACGGUUGGACUGCGUUCUCAUCAGAAAUGAACUGUCCCCCUAAUAUGGAGAUGAGUACCAAACUGGCUCACGUAGGGGACAGUUGGCCAUGUCGGAGAUUCGGCAACUCCAUUGUGCAUUAUACUCCAAGGUUAUGUAUGACCUGUUGUCUGGUGUGUAUGUAACGGUUGUAAUGUAAUUAGUCAUGUCUUCUUUCCAUUCAGUGUUACUCCGUCACUGUUGCACUUCUUUCUCCAAAUCAACACUGCUGUUUUACAUGGCUCACGAAAGGUUUUCCCCCAUGUCGGUGGAAAAAAUGGAGGCCAUACGGCCGAGCGCCCAGCACCGUGCUCCUCCCCCAUAAUCCUUUUGGCUCCAACACUUUACCACCCCGGCACGGUUGGCACUGGUGAUACAAGUGAAGAGGGAAUGUGGAUGGCCCAAAAAAAAAAGAAUACCCCUCUGAGAUUUUUGCAGGCGUUGCUAUCUAAGCGGGUCUCAACAUCAAUGCCACCCCUUGAGGAUCCGCUCGUCGGUCAACACAUCCAACUGUGCGCUAUUUGUUGACGAAGAUAGGCAGGCGAGCUUAGUACAGCUAAUAUGAAAUGUUUAACAUCGGAUUAAAAAAGGAGUGUAUUUAUGUUUAAUAAUUAAAGAUGGCUGUGCGACUCAAUCGAGAAAUAUAUUCCGUACGUUAUGAUACAUGAAAGCACAAGGCUCAUUUGGAGUCAAGAUGUACAGCAUUGUCAUUAUUUCAAUUCAGCCUUUAAAUCCACUUCAUACUGUGCUUACUGAAAAUAAGAGCAUUAUUAGGAGAUCCUUCUUCUCCCUUCCCUGUCUUUCCACGAUACCGGACUAUAUGCGUGUUCCGUAUACAAAUGUAACCUGUGUGUUUUUGUAUCGCACCCAUUUUACUCUUGGAGUUCCUUGCUGUUCUCUAAUCUGCCUGAUCGUCCGUCAGCCUUUCUCACACCUCCUAACUUGCCUUUUUUCAUUUACCUGGUCUCAUCUGUUUGUCAAUGUACAGUUUUCAGAGCACAAAGUGAAUGUGUCUUAUUUCUAAUAAAAAUAUAUAUGUACUUAAAAGCAGUCAUCGUGAUUGUAGCUCUUGCUUACUGUGCUAAUAGAAAUACCGGUUUUCUUAUUCUCCUUUUUUUUCUUUGAAUGUGACAUAAAUUGUAUUUCAAUGUACUGUAUAUGUUCAUCAGAAAGCAAGCUAGGUAUACCAUUAUGUAUUAGCACGAUAUAGGCAAACAUAGGAAGCAGUUUGCAAAAACGUCCAAUGCUACAACAACUUACUUAGAGGGCGUUAUCCAAGGUUUGGAAAUGCUAGCAAGAUCUCAAUCUCGCCUCAUUUCAUGUCCCGCCCCGUCCCCGGCCCCGGCCCCGGCCCCUGCCGCCUUGUGUCUGCACGAAGAAACUCCCCCAGUUCGCUCAACGAAAAAGAACCAUGAAGAGUGCAGCUCGGUCAGCCAGGAACGAGGAAGUGAGCCGGACCCAAGAGUUUUUGAGUGGGAGGGCCAGAAAUGUUCUCAGGUCGCCGCAAAAUCAAAUCGCGGAGGGGGAGUCUAAUGUUUUACCCCUUGAAAACCGAUCGUCAAUGGGGGUGCGUAAAUAUUUUCCAGAUUAUUCCAGACACACGUGGGGGUUGGCCAAAGGCACGGCCACCCUUCAGUUUAAGGUGGCCACCCCCUGACCUUUGUCCCCCUCACUCAGACUGCACCGCGAGCGCAAACGUUACACAACCAGCCGCGUAUUUUCGUUAUUGCUUGGAGGUCUCAAAGUGACGGUUGCUUUUCCCAGUUGACUAAGCCAACAGAUACGUGCUGGAUAAAUUGCCACAAGCAUAGGGAGAAGAUCAGAACUCGACAAGAAAGGCCCAGAGCAAACCUUUUGCUGUCAAACAUCAUAGCCAGCAGCUGUGCACACACGCUUACGGUGCCCCAUUGACUGCUUUUGUCUGUCACGAACCAUCUGACCUCACAUCAGGCCUGAGUCAAGGCGAAGCGUUCCUCACAUCAGGGUACCUCAUGUGGCCGCCUCCACCACAUUCCUCUAAUCACCUCCGUGGUGCAACAUCGGCUGGAUGACUAGCCCUCAAGGAUUUGGGUGACAUGACAAAGUCAUGUUUUUAUAAUGAUAUAAUACCUGUAUAUUGAAAUAAAUAAUGAAGGUUGUGUGAGAUCUAGACAGGUGUAGCCUGGGAGAAUGAACAGAAAAGAUUGACUGUAUAUUUGCAAGCCAAAGUCAUUUGGCUUAUUUCUGAAGGUUGUAACAUCUUUUGUUUGCCUUACAAAGAGUGGAGUUUUCUGGCACCUUCAACCCCUUCCCCCAACCCUCAAAGUACAAGAUAGAUAGCACCCCUUUGUUUAGGCAGACACCUGGUUGCGCCACUCAAACUAUCGCUUUGUUACUUCUUGCCAAUAAACGACAGACAACUGUCUGUUUAGUCUCCUGGAACUUCAUUGGCUUUUCCUCACAUAAAAGAACUCACACUUGGAUUUGUAUGAAAACUUUUGGCAAAUAUUUCCCCCCAACUUUAACAACACUGCCAGAACUAAGACAAGCGCAUGCAAAGUCCUCUUGGACCCUCCACAUCCUGAUCACCACCUCUUCGGGGUCCUUCCCUCAGGUUGGUGCUAUCGAACCAUACAGUACAAACUAAAACCAGCAGACAUUCCAACAGCUUCUUCCGUCUUGCCAUUAAAUUGCUCGAGGCUAAGUGACUCCCCAAAGUGUCUUUUUAUGUCUCAAAGUAUUUACUGUCCAAAUGGCCGUCCGUCUAUUGUCAUAGUCGAGCAGCUCCAACUACCGGAGACAAAUUCCUUGUGUGCUUUUGACAUACUUGGCAAUAAAGAGGAUUGUGAUUCUGAUUUGGGUACACCUUUUGUCACGAUCACCACACAUACUUGACACUAAUCCAAAGGAAGCUCUUCUUAUAUAUUUAAAUGGAAAAGGAUUCAUUUUCUAUGUAUUUAUUUUGUAUUUUUACGGUGACUAUUAUUAUUUACUAAUCUAUUUGUUGUAGUUUUUGUGAAUGUGCUCUCAUAAUAAAGUUGAGUUUAAAGCAUUUGACACUGUUACUGCGAUGAGCUUAAAAUGUUUUU